GAUGAACGCUGGCGGCGUGCCUAAUACAUGCAAGUCGAGCGAACAGAUGAGGAGCUUGCUCCUCUGACGUUAGCGGCGGACGGGUGAGUAACACGUGGAUAACCUACCUAUAAGACUGGGAUAACUUCGGGAAACCGGAGCUAAUACCGGAUAAUAUAUUGAACCGCAUGGUUCAAUAGUGAAAGACGGUUUUGCUGUCACUUAUAGAUGGAUCCGCGCCGCAUUAGCUAGUUGGUAAGGUAACGGCUUACCAAGGCAACGAUGCGUAGCCGACCUGAGAGGGUGAUCGGCCACACGGGAACUGAGACACGGUCCAGACUCCUACGGGAGGCAGCAGUAGGGAAUCUGCCGCAAUGGGCGAAAGCCUGACGGAGCAACGCCGCGUGAGUGAUGAAGGUCUUCGGAUCGUAAAACUCUGUUAUUAGGGAAGAACAAAUGUGUAAGUAACUAUGCACGUCUUGACGGUACCUAAUCAGAAAGCCACGGCUAACUACGUG
rnacentral:rRNA from 1 species